GUGGGGAAUAUUGGACAAUGGGCGAAAGCCUGAUCCAGCCAUGCCGCGUGUGUGAAGAAGGUCUUCGGAUUGUAAAGCACUUUAAGUUGGGAGGAAGGGUAGUAACCUAAUACGUUGCUACUUUGACGUUAUCGACAGAAUAAGCACCGGCUAACUUCGUGCCAGCAGCGGCGGUAAUACGAAGGGUGCAAGCGUUAAUCGGAAUUACUGGGCGUAAAGCGCGCGUAGGUGGUUCAGUAAGUUGGAAGUGAAAUCCCCGGGCUCAACCUGGGAACUGCAUCCAAAACUGGCAAGCUAGAGUACGGUAGAGGGAGGUGGAAUUUCCUGUGUAGCGGUGAAAUGCGUAGAUAUAGGAAGGAACACCAGUGGCGAAGGCGACCACCUGGACUGAUACUGACACUGAGGUGCGAAAGUGUGGGGAGCAAACAGGAUUAGAAACCCUGGUAGUCC
rnacentral:rRNA from 1 species